UACGUAGGGCGCAAGCGUUGUCCGGAAUUAUUGGGCGUAAAGAGCUCGUAGGCGGUCUGUCGCGUCUGCCGUGAAAACCCGAGGCUUAACCUCGGGCUGGCGGUGGAUACGGGCAGACUAGAGGUAGGUAGGGGAGAAUGGAAUUCCCGGUGUAGCAGUGAAAUGCGUAGAGAUCGGGAGGAACACCAGUGGCGAAGGCGGCUACCUGGACCAGCACUGACACUGAAGCACGAAAGCGUGGGGAGCAAACAGG
rnacentral:rRNA from 1 species